UACGAAGGGGGCUAGCGUUGCUCGGAAUUACUGGGCGUAAAGCGCACGUAGGCGGUCUUUAAGUCGGGGUGAAAUCCUGGAGCUCAACUCCAGAACUGCCUUCGAUACUGGAAGACUCGAGUCCGGAGAGGUGAGUGGAACUGCGAGUGUAGAGGUGAAAUUCGUAGAUAUUCGCAAGAACACCAGUGGCGAAGGCGGCUCACUGGCCCGGUACUGACGCUGAGGUGCGGAAAGCGUGGG
rnacentral:rRNA from 1 species